AACUCAUAGAUAGCAAAGCUUCUAAAGGGUUGUAUUACAUCGAGUAUACUCUGCAAAAUCCCGGUGAAAGUCUCAGACAUCUAUUUUCAGUGCUUGGGAUAGCAGACAAUGGGAUUUACAACAGACUGUAUACUCUCACUGGAUAGUUUGUAGACGAGGAGGCAGAGAAAUAUGGUGCUAAAAUACAGAAGG